UCCGGUAUGGUGUAACGGCUAACAUUGCCGCCUUUCAUUCGGCAGUGCGCGGCAGCUCGGGGUUCGAUUCCCCGUACCGGAG